rnacentral:rRNA from 1 species
UACAGGGGGUGCAAACGUUGCUCGGAAUCAUUGGGCGUAAAGCGCACGUAGGCGGUUCGUUGUGUCGGAUGUGAAAGCCCUUGGCUUAACCGAGGAAGUGCAUCCGAAACUGGCGAGCUAGAGUACGAAAGAGGAUCGCGGAAUUCCCGGUGUAGAGGUGAAAUUCGUAGAUAUCGGGAGGAACACCGGUGGCGAAGGCGGCGAUCUGGGUCGAUACUGACGCUGAGGUGCGAAAGCGUGGGGAGCGAACAGG